UACGUAGGUGGCAAGCGUUGUCCGGAUUUAUUGGGUUUAAAGGGUGCGUAGGCGGCUUUGUAAGUCAGUGGUGAAAUAUGGCAGCUCAACUGUCAAGGUGCUAUUGAUACUGCAGAGCUUGAGUACAGAUGAGGUAGGCGGAAUUGACGGUGUAGCGGUGAAAUGCUUAGAUAUCGUCAAGAACACCUAUAGCGAAGGCAGCUUACUAGGCUGUAACUGACGCUGAGGCACGAAAGUGUGGGGAUCAAACAGG
rnacentral:rRNA from 1 species